UGACUCCAUUCCAGCCAUUAUUAUGAGCCGUCCUCCCCUCAGCAGCCUCCACUGAUAUAGUUAUGUCUGUCAUAUUGAGGUAUCUAUCUAUAAGUUAAACCUGAUAAAUCAAAUGGAUAGGUGUAAGCAAUUAUGGUAAUUCCAAAUGUCACGGCCCCUCUGCAGUGCAGAGGAGGGUCGUUAGUGAUUGGAGUCACCUGGGCUCAGGGUAUUUAAACUGCUUCACUAAUCACUCUUCUCUCUCUGCUCCUCCAGGUACGAUCCUGGUUGUUUGUUCAUUUGUAGUUUUACUUACUUUUACUUAAUAUUUCAUAUUCACACACACAGAUUCAUGCAUCCUUGCACUUUACAUACACCUUACAUUAUGAUAUUCACACCUCAUUUCUUUGUUUAAAGUUAAUAGUUUUGGUUUACAAUAAAGAACCUUUUUGAUUGGCCUAUACCGGUUGUUCGUGUCCCCUCAUUUUUGCCACAGGCUAUGAGCCGGCCUGUGACACAAAUGUACUUCGACUUGAGUAUUUCAACAACUCUUCUCUUCCAACUUGUUAGGCAAUCAUAUAGGAGGGUGAUUUUUACUAAGGAGGAGAAGGAGGCCGUGCUGACCGCUGCAUGGUGGCAAUUUCGGGGGGGAAGUGCAUGAUUGCCAAAAUCAACCUACACUUCUUCUGAUGGGGAAUUGUCUUUAAAAAAAAAUUGCCCUUUCUCCCCAAUUUCGUGGUAUCCAAUUGUUAGUAGCUACUAUCUUGUCUCAUCGCUACAACUCCCGUACGGGCUCGGGAGAGACGAAGGUUGAAAGUCAUGCGUCCUCCGAUACACAACCCAACCAAGCAGCACUGCUUCUUAAAACAGCGCGCAUCCAACCCGGAAGCCAGCCGCACCAAUGUGUCGGAGGAAACACCGUGCACCUGGCAACCUUGGUUAGCGUGCACUGCACCCGGCCCGCCACAGGAGUCGCUGGUGCGCGAUGAGACAAGGAUAUCCCUACCGGCCAAACCCUCCCUAAUCCGGACGACGCUAGGCCAAUUGUGCGUCGCCCCAUGGACCUCUCCAGUUACGACAGAGCCUGGGCGCAAACCCGGGGUCUCUGGUGGCACAGCUGGCGCUGCUGUACAGCGCCCUUAACCACUGCGCCACCCGGGAGGCCCCCUAAUGGGGAAUUGUCAAGGAGGUGGACAGCUGGGCAAGAGAAGUUACCUUUUGUUUAUCAAUCACAUUCUAUUAUAUCUGAAAUUAUUAUGAUUUCAAUUAAUGUCAUUUCAGAGAGCACAUAAUGUUUCAAUUUGUCACUUUUGCUUAAAGGUCAGUACUCUGUCUACUUGCCAGAAGUUUGAGAGGGCGAAGACUGUCGCGCCGGACUUGAAGCCCAUCGAAGUUGUUACACCAUGGCACAUGAUCGGGGUGGACCUUAUCGGACCCUUCACUGAAUCCAGCAAUGGCAACAGCUGGUGUCUGACGGCGACCGAUCACUUUACCAAGUGGUUGGAGGCAAUAUCCAUUAAGUUCAGUAAAGGAAGAGUAUGUGCUUAAAUCUAAAUUCUCUUCUGUAACUCAUUAAAAAGGGUUCUUGGAACCAAAAAUAGAUUUUUGUUUUGCAUGAUAUACCCAUCAAGGACGAAACUGGCAAGGCCAUCUCCAAGGCAAUGAUGGACAUCUUCAACACCCUCGGUUCUCCUGAGGUCAUCUUGAGUGACCAAGGUUAGGAACGCAGGAACAAGGUUUGGUGAAUGGACCAACCAGACCCUCAAGACUGCCAUGGGCAAGUCCCUUGAUUGGUACCAGGAAGGGUGGGCGAACAACCUGCAUGUAAUUCUCUUUGAACACAACAGCAGCAUCCAGGCCUCCACUGACUACGGACUGGGGGCUGCAGCUGUUGACUGAGAUCACUGAAACUCCACCUGAUGUGGUGGAAGUUGUCGAACCAGAUCAGAACACCUUCGAGGACCACCUUCAGGCACGGGCUGAGAAGGAUGUGGAUGUUUCUGACCAGGUGACUUAACAUGGACAAGACGCAGGAGAAACAGAAGGAGAACUACCGGAGCAGAAUCAAGAAGGGGACCAAGUGCUACAACAUCCGGGCAAAUGACUUGGUUUGGAAGAAGUGCGAAAGGAAGGGUUACCUCGGUGAAAGCCGGACAGUCAAGCACGGAAGCCCAAUAGACAAAGUAUGUUAAGUUUUGGUUGACAUUUGAGAAGGCAAGAAAUUGUAGUUUUGCUGAAAGCACGCCCCCAUUCACAUCGACAGGGCUGCAGGGGAACGGGUCGAGUGCUUCAACUACCUCGGUGUCCGAAUCACUAAGGACUUAAAAUGGUCCACACCCACUCGCACAGUCGUAAAUAAGUCACGCCAGCGCCUCUUCCCCCCCUAAGGAGGUUGAAAAGGUUUGGCAUGCGCCCUCAAAUCCUCAAGUUCUACAGCUGUACCAUUGAGAGCAUCUUGACUGGCUGUAUCACUGCUUAUGACAAUAGCACCGCCCUCGAUCGCAUGGCGCUACAGAGGGUUGUCUGGACAGCCCAGUACAUCACUGGGGCCAAGCUCCCUGCCAUCCAGGACCUCUAUCAGGCUGUGUGAAAGAAAGGCCCGGGAAAUCGUUAAACUCCAACCACCCAAGCCAUAGACUGUUUGC